GGCAAAAUUCCCCACAUGAUUCGGACAGAAUCUGUAUAUAAAUGUAUCCUAAAAGCAAAUAAUAUAAAUUCACAGUUCAAUCAAUCUCUGCCCCAAGAAGUAGGCAACUUCAUUCUCCUCCUGACUCAGAGUAGCCUGCAGUCCCCACAGCAGGGGAUCUUGGAGCCUGCUUUCUUUGUUUUGAUUCCUGUACUUGAGUCCAUGUGACUAUAAGUGCUACCCAGCUACUCAAAAAAAAAAAAAAAAAAAAAAAAAACUCUAACUCCCAGGCUAAUAAUCUUAAAUUUCUAGUGGAUUCUUACCCAACAUGUUGGUUUGUUAUACCCAGCUACUAUCAGCUCCAGUGGUUUCGUCAGCCAAUCAGUUCUCAUCUUGUGGAGACUCUCUGACUCAGAGCUCCAAAAUCUCUCUAUCCAACUCAUUAAGUUCCAACGGUGGGUCGUUUCUUACCACACCAGCCUCAUGCUUCAAAACCCCCACAGCCUUUGUGGUGCACCUCUGGCAAACUCACACUUUGUCGCUGGACCUUUCUCUCUGGAACCCAGGCAAACCAUGGCAUGAAAGAAAACACACAAACUUAAUUCAGAAACAAUGGUAACUCAAUCUCUAGGUGCAACAACUAGAAUCCUAAUCUUGUAAGCCAUAUUAAAUCUAAAUCCUGCCAUAUUUGCCAUAUAAGCUGGGAGACACUGGUGCUACAUCUUGUCCUCUCGUAACCCUGUCCAAAAAGCCAAAAUUAAGUGUUUCUAAUGUGAGUUUGUUUUUUUUAUAUAGUAUCAAAAUAAACUGGCAUUAUGUGUCUG
rnacentral:lncRNA from 1 species